rnacentral:rRNA from 1 species
AACGAACGCUGGCGGCAUGCCUAACACAUGCAAGUCGAACGAGACCUUCGGGUCUAGUGGCGCACGGGUGCGUAACGCGUGGGAACCUGCCCUUAGGUUCGGAAUAACUCCCUGAAAGGGGUGCUAAUACCGGCUAAUGUCUUCGGACCAAAGAUUUAUCGCCGUUGGAUGGGCCCGCGUUGGAUUAGCUAGUUGGUAGGGUAAAAGCCUACCAAGGCGACGAUCCAUAGCUGGUCUGCGAGGAUGAUCAGCCAGACUGGGACUGAGACACGGCCCAGACUACUACGGGAGGCAGCAGUGGGGAAUAGUGGACAAUGGGCGAAAGCCUGAUCCAGCAAUGCCGCGUGAGUGAUGAAGGCCUUAGGGUUGUAAAGCUCUUUUACCCGAGAUGAUAAUGACAGUACCGGGAGAAUAAGCUCCGGCUAACUCCGUG